GGGGGGGGGCGCCUAUAAUGCAGUCGACGAACUCUGGUAUUGAUUGGUGCUUGCAUCAUGAUUUACAUUUGAGUGAGUGGCGAACUGGUGAGUAACACGUGGGAAACCUGCCCAGAAGCGGGGGAUAACACCUGGAAACAGAUGCUAAUACCGCAUAACAACUUGGACCGCAUGGUCCGAGUUUGAAAGAUGGCUUCGGCUAUCACUUUUGGAUGGUCCCGCGGCGUAUUAGCUAGAUGGUGAGGUAACGGCUCACCAUGGCAAUGAUACGUAGCCGACCUGAGAGGGUAAUCGGCCACAUUGGGACUGAGACACGGCCCAAACUCCUACGGGAGGCAGCAGUAGGGAAUCUUCCACAAUGGACGAAAGUCUGAUGGAGCAACGCCGCGUGAGUGAAGAAGGGUUUCGGCUCGUAAAACUCUGUUGUUAAAGAAGAACAUAUCUGAGAGUAACUGUUCAGGUAUUGACGGUAUUUAACCAGAAAGCCACGGCUAACUACGUGCCAGCAGCCGCGGUAAUACGUAGGUGGCAAGCGUUGUCCGGAUUUAUUGGGCGUAAAGCGAGCGCAGGCGGUUUUUUAAGUCUGAUGUGAAAGCCUUCGGCUCAACCGAAGAAGUGCAUCGGAAACUGGGAAACUUGAGUGCAGAAGAGGACAGUGGAACUCCAUGUGUAGCGGUGAAAUGCGUAGAUAUAUGGAAGAACACCAGUGGCGAAGGCGGCUGUCUGGUCUGUAACUGACGCUGAGGCUCGAAAGUAUGGGUAGCAAACAGGAUUAGAUACCCUGGUAGUCCAUACCGUAAACGAUGAAUGCUAAGUGUUGGAGGGUUUCCGCCCUUCAGUGCUGCAGCUAACGCAUUAAGCAUUCCGCCUGGGGAGUACGGCCGCAAGGCUGAAACUCAAAGGAAUUGACGGGGGCCCGCACAAGCGGUGGAGCAUGUGGUUUAAUUCGAAGCUACGCGAAGAACCUUACCAGGUCUUGACAUACUAUGCAAAUCUAAGAGAUUAGACGUUUCCCUUCGGGGACAUGGAUACAGGUGGUGCAUGAUUGUCGUCAGCUCGUGUCGUGAGAUGUUGGGUUAGUCCUGCAACGAGCGCAACCCUUUAUUAUCAGCUGCAGCAUCAGUUGGGCACUUCUGUUGAGACUGCGGUGACAACCGGCAGGAGUGGGAAUGAACGUUCAAUUCAUUCAUGCCCUUUAUUGACCUUGGGGCCCUUACGC
rnacentral:rRNA from 1 species